UACAGAGGUCUCAAGCGUUGUUCGGAUUCAUUGGGCGUAAAGCGCGUGUAGGCGGCUAUGUAAGUCGGGCGUGAAAUCCCACGGCUCAACCGUGGAAGUGCACCCGAAACUGCGUAGCUAGAGUCCUGGAGAGGAAGGUGGAAUGCUUGGUGUAGAGGUGAAAUUCGUAGAUAUCAAGCGGAACACCGGUGGCGAAGGCGGCCUUCUGGACAGUGACUGACGCUGAGACGCGAAAGCGUGGGGAGCAAACAGG
rnacentral:rRNA from 1 species